GAACCCUGGAGAGAGCUAGAGAGAGAGAGAGCGAGAGAGCGAGAGAGCGAGAGAGCUGGCUGCCUAGAGAAGACAGGUGUGUCAGCUCUGUCCACAGAGACAGGUGGAGACAGAGCAACACUUCCUGCUGCACUGUCAAACAUACCAAGACAUUAGAACAAAGUUCUUUACAAAGAUAACAUGUAAACUCCAAGAUUUUGAAUCACUGUCUGACCAGAAUAAAAUGCAACAUGUACUUCGAGAAAAUAGUGCCAGCAGCAUAGAAGCAGCGAAAUAUGUGAGCGCAUGUCACAGCCUAAGAGACAGCAACAACACAUAACAGCUGUUCCUCACAGCUCACUCCUCUACUUCAUUGGUCUCUUUUCUUUCUUUUUACAUUUCAUACUUGAGGUUUUGUAAUAACAUAUUGUUGUAAAUUGUUUAAUGAAUGAAUUGUAUUUGUAUUUUUUUUUCUUUUUCUUAUCAUAUCACUAUUGAAUUGUAUUAUCCUUGACGCUUUGGCAAUAUUGUUCACCUGACAUUCAUGCCAAUAAAGCUUAUUGAAUUGAAUUGAAUUGAGAGAGAGAGAAAGAGAGAGCGAGAGAGCUAGAGAGAGCGAGAGAGAGAGAGAGAGAGACCUGGCUGCCUAGAGAAGACAGGUGUGUCAGCUCUGUCCACAGAGACAGGUGGAGACAGAGCAACACUUCCUGCUGCACUGUCAAACAUACCAAGACAUUAGAACAAAGUUCUUUACAAAGAUAACAUGUAAACUCCAAGAUUUUGAAUCACUGUCUGACCAGAAUAAAAUGCAACAUGUACUUGGAGAAAAUAGUGCCAGCAGCAUAGAAGCAGCGAAAUAUGUGAGCGCAUGUCACAGCCUAAGAGACAGCAACAAUACAUAACAGCUGUUCCUCACAGCUCACUCUGAUCACUCCUCUACUUCAUUGGUCUCUUUUCUUUCUUUCUUUUUACAUUUCAUACUUGCGCUUUUGUAAUAACAUAUUGUUGUAAAUUGUUUAAUGAAUGAAUUGUAUUUGUAUUUUUUUUUCUUUUUCUUAUCAUAUCACUAUUGAAUUGUAUUAU